rnacentral:rRNA from 1 species
AUUGAACGCUGGCGGCAGGCCUAACACAUGCAAGUCGAACGGUAACAGGAAACAGCUUGCUGUUUCGCUGACGAGUGGCGGACGGGUGAGUAAUGUCUGGGAAACUGCCUGAUGGAGGGGGAUAACUACUGGAAACGGUAGCUAAUACCGCAUAACGUCGCAAGACCAAAGAGGGGGACCCUCGGGCCUUUUGCCAUCGGAUGUGCCCAGAUGGGAUUAGCUUGUUGGUGGGGUAACGGCUCACCAAGGCGACGAUCCCUAGCUGGUCUGAGAGGAUGACCAGCCACACUGGAACUGAGACACGGUCCAGACUCCUACGGGAGGCAGCAGUGGGGAAUAUUGCACAAUGGGCGCAAGCCUGAUGCAGCCAUGCCGCGUGUAUGAAGAAGGCCUUCGGGUUGUAAAGUACUUUCAGCGGGGAGGAAGGGAGUAAAGUUAAUACCUUUGCUCAUUGACGUUACCCGCAGAAGAAGCACCGGCUAACUCCGUGCCAGCCGCCGCAGUAAAAC